rnacentral:rRNA from 1 species
CAUCUUUUCUAGUAUUUUAUUUGAGAUCUGACCUGCCCAAUGAUUUAUUUAAAUGGCCGCGGUAUACUGACCGUGCAAAGGUAGCAUAAUCAUUAGUUUAUUAAUUGUAGACUUGUAUGAAUGGUUGGACGAAAUAUUAACUGUCUCAUAUUGAUUUUUAAAAUUUAAAUUUUGAGUUAAAAUGCUUAAAUUUUAUUAUAGGACGAGAAGACCCUAUAGAUCUUUAUUUAUAAUUUUAUUAUAUUAUUUGGUUUUAUUUAUAUAUAAUUUAUUUAUUUAUUUUGUUGGGGUGACAUUGAUAUAUAAAUAACUAUUUAUUUUAUUAUUCAAUUAUUUUUGUAUAUUUGACCUUUUAUUAUUGUUAAAAGAUUUAGAUACCUUAGGGAUAACAGCGUAAUUUUUUUUGAGAGUUCAUAUCGACAAAAUAGAUUGCGAACCUCGAUGUUGGAUUAAGAUUAUAUUUAGGUGCAGGUGCUUAAAUGUUAAGUCUGUUCGACUUUUAAAUUCUUAC